rnacentral:rRNA from 1 species
UACGUAGGGCGCAAGCGUUGUCCGGAAUUAUUGGGCGUAAAGAGCUCGUAGGUGGUUUGUCGCGUCCGCUGUGAAAACCCGAGGCUCAACCUCGGGCCUGCAGUGGGUACGGGCAGACUAGAGUGCGGUAGGGGAGACUGGAAUUCCUGGUGUAGCGGUGGAAUGCGCAGAUAUCAGGAGGAACACCGAUGGCGAAGGCAGGUCUCUGGGCCGCAACUGACACUGAGGAGCGAAAGCAUGGGGAGCGAACAGGG